rnacentral:rRNA from 1 species
CUGCGUUCCGAAUUAGGUUGUUGGCGGGGGUAACGGCCCCACCAAGCCCAUUGAUCGGUACGGGUUGUUGGGAGCAAGAUCCCGGGAGAUGGAUUCUGAGACAUGAAUCCAGGCCCUACGGGGCGCAGCAGGCGCGCAAACUUUACAAUGCGAGCAAUCGUGAUAAGGAAACCCUGAGUGCCUGUCGAUGCAGGCUGUUCAUAUAUCUAAAUCAUAUGUGAAGAAAGGGCAGGGCAAGACCGGUGCCAGCCGCCGCGGUAAUACCGGCUGCUCGAGUGAUGGCCACUAUUACUGGGUUUAAAGCGUCCGUAGCUUGACUGUUAGGUCUCUUGGGAAAUCUUCACGCUCAACGUGAAGGCGUCUAAGAGAUACCGGCAGUCUUGGAACUGGGAGAGGUAAACCGUACUUCGGGGGUAGGAGUGAAAUCUUGUAAUCCUCGAGGGACGACCUAUGGCGAAGGCAGUUUACCAGAACAGCUUCGACAGUGAGGGACGAAAGCUGGGGGAGCAAACGGGAUUAGAUACCCCGGUAGUCCCAGCUGUAAACAAUGUGCGUUAGGUGUGUCGGUAACCACGUGUUACUGAUGCGCCGAAGAGAAAUCGUGAAACGCACCACCUGGGAAGUACGGUCGCAAGGCUGAAACUUAAAGGAAUUGGCGGGGGAGCACCACAACAGGUGGAGCCUGCGGUUUAAUUGGAUUCAACGCCGGACAUCUCACCGGAUAAGACAGCUGAAUGAUUGUCAAUCUGAAGGUUUUACAUGACUAGCUGAGAGGAGGUGCAUGGCCGUCGUCAGUUCGUACUGUGAAGCAUCCUGUUAAGUCAGGCAACGAGCGAGACCCACGCCGACAAUUGCCAGCAGCAUCUCCGGAUGGCUGGGGACAUUGUCGGGACCGCCUCUGCUAAAGGGGAGGAAGGAAUGGGCAACGGUAGGUCAGCAUGCCCCGAAUUAUCCGGGCUACACGCGGGCUACAAUGGACGGGACAAUGGGUAACAACACCGAAAGGUGCAGUCAAUCUCCGAACCCCGCCCUUAGUUAGGAUUGCGGGUUGCAACUCACCCGCAUGAAUCUGGAAUCUGUAGUAAUCGCG